AUACUUACCUGGUGCCGGGGCCUCGUUGAUCACCGAGGACGAGCCCCCAGGGUGAGGCGCGGGCAAUGCACCGCGCUCCCGUUGACCCCUUGCCAAUACCCCAAACUGGGGCAGAUGGGGCAGGAAAAUUGCUC
rnacentral:snRNA from 1 species